AGCGAACGUUUGCGGCGGGCCUAACACAUGCAAGUCGAACGCACUAGCAAUAGUGAGUGGCGCACGGGUGCGUAACACGUGGGUAAUCAACCCUUCAGCCUGGGAUAACGACUCGAAAGGGUCGCUAAUACCGGAUACGGCGCGAGAGGCUUCGGCUUCUCACGAGAAAGCCACGCAAGGGGCACUGAAGGACGAGCCUGCGGCCCAUCAGCUAGUUGGUGAGGUAAGAGCUCACCAAGGCUAAGACGGGUAGCUGGUCUGAGAGGAUGAUCAGCCACACUGGAACUGAGACACGGUCCAGACUCCUACGGGAGGCAGCAGUGGGGAAUAUUGCGCAAUGGGCGAAAGCCUGACGCAGCCACGCCGCGUGAGCGAUGAAGGCCUUCGGGUCGUAAGACGUCUGUGGGAGGAGACGAAGAAAGACCUGUGAAGAGCAGGCCUUGACGGUAUCUCCUUAGCAAGCACCGGCUAACUCCGUG
rnacentral:rRNA from 1 species